rnacentral:rRNA from 1 species
UACGUAGGGAGCAAGCGUUGUUCGGAUUUACUGGGCGUAAAGGGCGCGUAGGCGGCAAUUCAAGUCAGCGGUGAAAUCUCCGGGCUCAACCCGGAAACUGCCAUUGAUACUAUUGGUCUUGAAUGUUGUUGAGGUGGGCGGAACGGGUCAUGUAGCGGUGAAAUGCAUAGAUAGUGACCCGGAACGACCGAUUGCGAAGGCAGCCCACUAAGCAAUGAUUGACGCUGAGGCACGAAAGCGUGGGGAUCAAACAGG